rnacentral:rRNA from 1 species
GGUUAAGCGACUAAGCGUACACGGUGGAUGCCCUGGCAGUCAGAGGCGAUGAAGGGCGUGCUAAUCUGCGAUAAGCGCCGGUAAGGUGAUAUGAACCGUUAUAACCGGCGAUACCCGAAUGGGGAAACCCAGUGUGACUCGUCACACUAUCAUUAACUGAAUCCAUAGGUUAAUGAGGCGAACCGGGGGAACUGAAACAUCUAAGUACCCCGAGGAAAAGAAAUCAACCGAGAUUCCCCCAGUAGCGGCGAGCGAACGGGGAGGAGCCCAGAGCCUGAAUCAGCAUGUGUGUUAGUGGAAGCGUCUGGAAAGGCGCGCGAUACAGGGUGACAGCCCCGUACACAAAAGCGCAUGUGCUGUGAGCUCGAUGAGUAGGGCGGGACACGUGGUAUCCUGUCUGAAUAUGGGGGGACCAUCCUCCAAGGCUAAAUACUCCUGACUGACCGAUAGUGAACCAGUACCGUGAGGGAAAGGCGAAAAGAACCCCGGCGAGGGGAGUGAAAAAGAACCUGAAACCGUGUACGUACAAGCAGUGGGAGCCCCACCACUAAGCCAGUGGUGAACUCCACAUACGCAUCCUUUGCUGAGGAUACGGUUAACGGAGCGAAAGCGACGUUCAACCGCAAAAGAAGCAGAGGGGGCUUAGUGGUGGGGUGACUGCGUACCUUUUGUAUAAUGGGUCAGCGACUUAUAUUCUGUAGCAAGGUUAACCGAAUAGGGGAGCCGGAGGGAAACCGAGUCUUAAUUGGGCGUUAAGUUGCAGGGUAUAGACCCGAAACCCGGUGAUCUAGCCAUGGGCAGGUUGAAGGUUGGGUAACACUAACUGGAGGACCGAACCGACUAAUGUUGAAAAAUUAGCGGAUGACCUGUGGCUGGGGGUGAAAGGCCAAUCAAACCGGGAGAUAGCUGGUUCUCCCCGAAAGCUAUUUAGGUAGCGCCUCGUGAAUUCAUCUCCGGGGGUAGAGCACUGUUUCGGCUAGGGGGCCAUCCCGGCUUACCAACCCGAUGCAAACUGCGAAUACCGGAGAAUGUUAUCACGGGAGACACACGGCGGGUGCUAACGUCCGUCGUGAAGAGGGAAACAACCCAGACCGCCAGCUAAGGUCCCAAAGUCAUGGUUAAGUGGGAAACGAUGUGGGAAGGCCCAGACAGCCAGGAUGUUGGCUUAGAAGCAGCCAUCAUUUAAAGAAAGCGUAAUAGCUCACUGGUCGAGUCGGCCUGCGCGGAAGAUGUAACGGGGCUAAACCAUGCACCGAAGCUGCGGCAGCGACACUGUGUGUUGUUGGGUAGGGGAGCGUUCUGUAAGCCUGUGAAGGUGUGUCGUGAGGCAUGCUGGAGGUAUCAGAAGUGCGAAUGCUGACAUAAGUAACGAUAAAGCGGGUGAAAAGCCCGCUCGCCGGAAGACCAAGGGUUCCUGUCCAACGUUAAUCGGGGCAGGGUGAGUCGACCCCUAAGGCGAGGCCGAAAGGCGUAGUCGAUGGGAAACGGGUUAAUAUUCCCGUACUUGGUGUUACUGCGAAGGGGGGACGGAGAAGGCUAUGUUGGCCGGGCGACGGUUGUCCCGGUUUAAGCGUGUAGGUGUGUGUUCCAGGUAAAUCCGGUUCACUUUAACACUGAGGCGUGACGACGAGGCACUACGGUGCUGAAGCAACAAAUGCCCUGCUUCCAGGAAAAGCCUCUAAGCAUCAGGUAACACGAAAUCGUACCCCAAACCGACACAGGUGGUCAGGUAGAGAAUACCAAGGCGCUUGAGAGAACUCGGGUGAAGGAACUAGGCAAAAUGGUGCCGUAACUUCGGGAGAAGGCACGCUGACACGUAGGUGAAGUGAUUUACUCAUGGAGCUGAAGUCAGUCGAAGAUACCAGCUGGCUGCAACUGUUUAUUAAAAACACAGCACUGUGCAAACACGAAAGUGGACGUAUACGGUGUGACGCCUGCCCGGUGCCGGAAGGUUAAUUGAUGGGGUCAGCGCAAGCGAAGCUCCUGAUCGAAGCCCCGGUAAACGGCGGCCGUAACUAUAACGGUCCUAAGGUAGCGAAAUUCCUUGUCGGGUAAGUUCCGACCUGCACGAAUGGCGUAAUGAUGGCCAGGCUGUCUCCACCCGAGACUCAGUGAAAUUGAACUCGCUGUGAAGAUGCAGUGUACCCGCGGCAAGACGGAAAGACCCCGUGAACCUUUACUAUAGCUUGACACUGAACAUUGAGCCUUGAUGUGUAGGAUAGGUGGGAGGCUUUGAAGUGUGGACGCCAGUCUGCAUGGAGCCGACCUUGAAAUACCACCCUUUAAUGUUUGAUGUUCUAACGUGGACCCGUGAUCCGGGUUGCGGACAGUGUCUGGUGGGUAGUUUGACUGGGGCGGUCUCCUCCUAAAGAGUAACGGAGGAGCACGAAGGUUGGCUAAUCCUGGUCGGACAUCAGGAGGUUAGUGCAAUGGCAUAAGCCAGCUUGACUGCGAGCGUGACGGCGCGAGCAGGUGCGAAAGCAGGUCAUAGUGAUCCGGUGGUUCUGAAUGGAAGGGCCAUCGCUCAACGGAUAAAAGGUACUCCGGGGAUAACAGGCUGAUACCGCCCAAGAGUUCAUAUCGACGGCGGUGUUUGGCACCUCGAUGUCGGCUCAUCACAUCCUGGGGCUGAAGUAGGUCCCAAGGGUAUGGCUGUUCGCCAUUUAAAGUGGUACGCGAGCUGGGUUUAGAACGUCGUGAGACAGUUCGGUCCCUAUCUGCCGUGGGCGCUGGAGAACUGAGGGGGGCUGCUCCUAGUACGAGAGGACCGGAGUGGACGCAUCACUGGUGUUCGGGUUGUCAUGCCAAUGGCACUGCCCGGUAGCUAAAUGCGGAAGAGAUAAGUGCUGAAAGCAUCUAAGCACGAAACUUGCCCCGAGAUGAGUUCUCCCUGAGACUUAGAGUCUCCUGAAGGAACGUUGAAGACGACGACGUUGAUAGGCCGGGUGUGUAAGCGCAGCGAUGCGUUGAGCUAACCGGUACUAAUGAACCGUGAGGCUUAACCUU